CGAAAACAGUGCAGUCAGGAAGAAUCUACAUCCUGCCUCCUAUUCCUGAAAUACAGAAUUUGUGAAGAAUUCUAAUGCAUCUGCACUGUUUACUACGAAAAACUGCCUUCUGCUCCACAGUUCUUGGAUCUUCCACCAAUCACGCUACUAUGGCAUGAAUUUGACAGAUCAGCAAGAGAAAAACAUGUUACACCGAGAUGGUGAACACAUCAGAUCCUGCAGACUUUGCGCUCUUUCCAAAGAUGAAAAUCCAGCUCGAAGGUCGCCGUUUUGACACCAUUGCGGAGAUUCGGCGCAAAACGCACAAGGUCCUUGACACGCUUCGAAAAGAAGUCUUUCAGGACACACACAUUCCAAAAGUUUUAGGAAUGCUGGGAGCACUGUAUUUCUGUCCAAGGGGAUUAUUUUGAAGGUGAUAGUGUGUAAACAUAGAUAAAUAAAUUACUUUAUUGUAAUCAGAGCCUCGAAGUUUAGAAACGUUUGGGAUUUUUUUUUUAUUGGUUCUUUAACUGUAUGUGCAUCCUCCUUCAUUAAAGAUUAAUUAGCAGCAUUUUGUUUACAGCGUC